AAAAACUGAGCUCACAGACAGCUGCCUGUGUGACCUUUAAUAUGCAGCUUCUGCUCUAAAAAACAAAUAAAAAUAAAAAAAUGUGUAACUUGCUCAUCAGCUUGGUAGUGUCCACAUAUUUAAUUCAUUUUAUUCAGCUUCUCAAACCUGUAGCUUUAGCUGUUGUAUACAGGGUUUGGCUUAUUAGUUGUUAGUAUAGGUUUGCUCUUCAUCUUAACAAAGUCUCAUCUAAGAUGACAGGUUUACAAGCAGGUCAAGUGUCUCUAUGCACCUGAUUAGUGUAGUUAUUUCCUUAUUUUCUUCAUCUCCUAUAUCAUUGUACUGAGUUUGAGCAAACCUUAAGCUUGAAUCAGACUACUUUUAACAAUCUUCCACCUCACAUCAUAACUGACUGAGGUGCCUCUUCCUGUUAAUAGUAUGUCAUUAUUAAUGUUAUCAUUGUAUUGUUUUUCCUUUUUUAUAACAGCAAUAGUAUAUCACAAUACACUACUUUACUACUAAUAUACAAUAGUAUAUUAGUUUAUAUUUUAUUAUGUAUCCAUCAAAGGCCGAUGUGACCUGCAGUUUCACACCUUCCCAAGCUGGAGACAUUUUCCUUGGCUGAACAAUGACACAGCCUUAAUAUGCCUUAUGCAUCUCUCUUUUUUAUUUGAUAUAUUUGUGUGCGUAGGAGCCGACUUUGCUACCUGCACAGAGCGUUUCUGACAGUCGGGCGUUGCUUAUGCAAAAGAGAAAAGCAACAAUACAGCGUGUUUCUCGGCUCCAAGAUCCGCGGUCCUUUAACACAGCAAGCAUGUCUGUUAUAGGCUGGCUGGCUGUCAGCGCUGAUUAUUCAAAUCGUGUUUAAAACGUGACUCAUUUGUUGUCCAAAAACAUUUCCUCUAAAUUUGCACAGUUACUGAUUUAAAAAUAUAUAUUUUGGAAUUUUUAGCUGAGUGUCAAACAUAUGAUAGACUCUUGAGUAUAUUUAUAUAGCAAAAUUCACAAUGGUAUAACCAUGCUAGAUGCCCAAGUGUGCACCAAUGCACUCUAAUGCAAGCCUUUAAACUGUAUGUUGAUAAGUGCAUGAAGUUUACCUGACAUUUUCAUGACAAGUGAUAGCGCAGACAUCUGCUAAUGAGAGAACAUGUUUUUUCAUCAUAAAGAGUGAUAUGAAGCAUCGUUAGAAUAGAAGGCUGAUAUUCAAGCAGAAGAAAAUUAAAAGGUUUUUUUUGUGGCUCUACAGAUUAAAGAAAAAUAUGUUUAAUAAUUCAACAACAUCCACACCUUCAACACAUGUACAUUUAAAAUUUGGAACAGGAUCAGCGUUGCUGUUGUUUAAUGGGUUUUAAAAGGAAUCUGCAUUUAAAUAGAACAUAGUAGUGUAGGAAACACUAGUAUAAGGUGUCUUUGGAACAAAUGUCCUUUAACCUUCACCAUGACCAGAGUGGAUGACCACAGGCAUUUCUCUCACUCAACUGACUGUGUUUAGGGAAAAAGCAGCUAAAUACACUGAGUUUGCUCCACAUUGUUAGUGAGUUAACUCUGGAUGUCUGUAGGUUUUGUCAAACUUGGAUUGAACAAAAGCAGAAAAACAGUAAAAGACGCAGACAUGAAUACAAUGAAACAUUUUAGAGUCCACAGAGCAAAGUAGCAUACAUGAUAAAUAAAUACACAUAACAUGGACAGUGAGAAGUAAAACUCAUCGUCUUACCAGAUGUUAUAUUCUGUAAACUGAAAUUAGAGUUUAGUGUUUUAAGGCAUCUAUUAAAAAACAUGAGUCAACACUUCUCUCUCCCAGUAGCAUUACUGAAGUGACAUGUCUGUGAAGGUUCUCAGUCAUCCAGGUCAUCGUAGUCUAAGGACCUUGCAAAGAAAAGCGUCUGGAUUUCUUUAAGUUGCUUGAAGACAUUUCACCUCUCAUCUCAGUGUGCAAAUCUGAUCGGGUGUGAAGUUGGUCCUGUCUUCUGCCUCCUCUCUGACCUCUGCCUUACCACUACAUAUUUGAAAUACAACGAGGGUUUCUACAGACAAAAACAUGGCUGUGCCAUGGGCUGCCCCGUGCCACCUAUUGUAGCCAACCUUUACAUGGAAGAAGUGGAAAGAAAGGCUCUUGGCUCUUUUCAAGGGAGAGUACCCAGCCACUGGUACAGAUAUGUAGACGACACCUGGGUCAAAAUCAAAACACAAGAAGUGGAAUUCUUCACUGCUCACAUUAACGCUGUGGAUAAAAACAUCAAGUUCACCAGGGAAGACACAAAAGAUAACUGUUUGCCUUUCCUGGACUGUGCUGUGCACAUUGAAGAGAAUGGCAACCUCAACAUUUAAGUUUACCGGAAGCCCACACACACGGACCAGUACCUCCUCUUUGACUCCCAUCACCCUCUGGAACACAAACUUGGAGUAAUUAGGACCCUACACCACCGGGCAGAACAUGUUCCCUCUAAGCCUGAAGGGAAAAAGAAGGAACACACAAGUAAAGGAAGCACUUAAAACAUGCGGUUAUCCUAAUUGGGCGUUUAUAAAGUCAGCAAAGAUGCACAGAAAAGAAGAUCAGACACCAGCGAGGGAGGAUAAGAAAGACAGACACAACAACAUUGUCAUCCCCUAUGUAGCCGGUGUAUCAGAGAAACUCAGAGUAUUCUCCAAGCACGACAUCCCAGUGCAUUUCAGACCCAGCAACACCCUCAGACAAAAACUGGUUCACCUGAAAGACAAAACUCCAAAACACACACUUAACAAUGUGGUGUACGCUGUACAGUGUAGCUAGGAAUGCCCAGACCUCUACAUCAGAGAGACCAAACAGCCACUUCACAGGCGGAUAGUUUGAAAGAGGAGUGAAAGAAGCCAUUUAUGUCGACUGUGAGCGACCGUCUUUGAACAGAGGCGGUGGCUUACGACACCAACUGUCUGCCAUCUAUAAUCCAGUUUUGAGAUCCUUUCCCAGACGCCCUAACGCCCACUCACAUCCUGGGCCAUCUGACCUCAGGAAAUCACAUGAUAGGGUGGGGCUAGGUUUCACAAUGAGCUCACCCGAAACCCUGGCUGAUUGUGACCUACACCCGUUUUCACACCUUGGCUCAUGUGAUUAGGUAGAGAAUCAUCAGGGGGUCCUUUUGUCCCUCUUUGGGGGGAUACUCCCAUGGGGUUUAAAUCUGGGACUCUCCACCAUUUGACCAUAGAACUGAAGAAGCUUCUCGGAUGAGAGGUGAAACGUCUUCAAGCAACUCAAAGAAGUCCAGACGCUUUUCUUUGCAAACUCCUUUGACUACGAUGACCUGGAUGACUGAGAACCUUCACAGACAUAAACAUGGAGGUGAAAAGUUUUUCUAGUUUUGGCCCUCUUAAAUUCAACAGAAUUGAAAUAUAUUUCAGUCUGCAGAAUGUCUUCUUACAAAGAUCUUUGCAAGAUCUUAUCCUUCCUGUUUUGUUUGUCUCCUUAUUUAUGAAGAAUGAGUCUUCUAUUAUUCACACUUAGCUGGCAGGAAGAACAUGUACACCACUACUUUCCAACGCUCAUAUCUGUGUGGGUUUCUUCUCCUACCCUGUAGCUCACAUCUUAGUGUCCACACAGAUAGUGCCACCUUGUAGUCUCGCAUGGAACUAUAUUACCUUUACAGCAACAGCUUCUGAUCAUUACAUCUUCGACCCCUUUUAAAAAAAAUAAACAUAUCACCAAACAUAUGUGCCUCAAACAACAAACAUUAAACAUAUGGCAGAUGGCAUCGGAAUAACCUUUUUUUUUUUUUUUUUAAUCAUUAUCAUUAUUAUUUUCUUCUAACAAACCGGCCCUAGACUAUAAAACUCGGCCCUUAUCUCUCCUCCAUUCGCAGGCUGAGCACCGGCUCCCCUCCUGUAUUCUCUCUACACCUAUGACUGCAGUUCGACCCACAACAACACUCUCAUCAUCAAGUUUGCUGAUGACACCACAGUAGUCGGACUCAUCUCAAAGGGAGACGAGGCAGACUACAGAGAGGAAGCCCUGAAGUUGGCAGCACGGUGUUCAGAAAACAACCUGGCACUGAACAGUAAGAAAACCAAAGAGGUCAUUGUCGACUGCAGGAGGCACAGCACUGACUUAGCCCCCCUUUACACCAACAGGGAGUGUGUGGAGAGGGUCCACACCUUCCGGUUCCUUGGUGUCCUCAUCUCUGCUGACAUCACCUGGACAGACAACAUCUCAGCGGUCGUCAAGAAGGCCCAACAGCGGCUGCACUUCCUGACGGUACUCAGGAAGUACAAGCUGAACUCCAACCUGCUGCUGACCUUCUGCUGCUCGUCCAGCCUAAAAACAUACUGCAUCACGGUAUGGUACAGUAGCUUCACUAAGACGGAUAGAGCGAGGCUUCAGAGUGUGGUCAUGACUGCACAAAAGAUCAUCGGCUGCCCUCUCCCCUCCCUGAUGGACAUUUAUUCCUCCCGCUGCCUCAGCAGAGCAGCAAACAUUAUCAAGGACAGCUCCCACCCUGGCUUCAACAUGUUCAGCCUGCUUCCCUCAGGGAAGUGCUACAGGUGCAUCAGCACAUUCUUCCCAAAGGCCAUAACCACCCUGAACUCACAUAUGCAGCCUCUCCCCCCAAUUUUUCUCAUUUCCUCUAUGAACCACCACUCUGCAAUACAAAGUUCUAUGUGCAAUAAUCUCAAUUGUAUAUGCAUAACACUAUUUAUUACAUAUUACUUUUUAAAACUUGUACAUUUCAUAUAUUUUUUCUCUGUUAAUACUGUCCAU
ensembl:lncRNA